rnacentral:lncRNA from 1 species
AUCAUGGACCGAACCAUGUCUAAUAAGAUUCAAUUCCACUGAGAGAGAAUCUCAUUUUCUUCUAGAUAUGUUAAACUCACCGAAAAAGUAUUCUCCUCCUCAGUCUGACCGAAGAGUUUCAAUACUCUUUCAAUUUAUUUCUCUACCUCAUUAUAGAAUCAUUUGAAUAUUUCAAACAAUUCAAAUUUAUGGCACUCAUGUUCAUAGGUCCUAUACAUCAGUAUCUA